rnacentral:lncRNA from 1 species
CUUUGCUUUGUCCACUCCAAGUACAGAGUUGUCACUUAGACAUGGGGCUUCCUCCCUGAGGAAGGGGCAAAUGUGCAAGUCAGGAAAAAGAAAACAGGGUAUCAGAGUAACUCAGAACAAGUUGACCUCUUUAUGGCAACUCCUCAAAUAUCUGAAGAUGACAAGUACGUUGCAAUUUAUCUUUUAUAACUUCUUAUGUGGACUACUAUCAAGCAACUCUCUACUCAUAUGGAAUUACUCUUGGCCUAAAUAUUGCAAUUCCCAAGUGUUUUGGUCUGUGUGCAAACAAAGUGAGCAGUAAAGCCUGGAUGGUGAGCCCCUUUCUAAGAGUGACGAUGACCAGGUGGUACUAUUUGACAUUUAAUGAGACGAUAUUUGAGAGGACUAUCUCUCUAACUCCAAAUGUGUCUUCUCAACUAAGCUGCCAGCAUCUGCACGUCCACCAUUAGGGUUUAACUCCUUCAGAAUUGUUUUCCUGGCAUCUUAUCCCAGAGGCAUUUCCUGGAAUACAAAUUGAUUUGCAUGUUAUUGAAUUAUCAGUGGUUUCUCCUACCUCUAAUAUCAGGGACCUGGCAACAGGAGAGAAUAAGAAUGUGGG